UACUUGUUCCACUCUAGCAGCACGUAAAUAUUGGCGUGGUGACAUAAGUAUGAAACACCAAUAUUACUGUGCUGCUUUAGUGUGACAGGGAUA
rnacentral:pre_miRNA from 1 species